rnacentral:rRNA from 1 species
AACGAACGCUGGCGGCGUGCCUAACACAUGCAAGUCGCGCGGGAAAGUUCCCUUCGGGGAGCGAGUAUAGCGGCGCACGGGUGAGUAAUACGUAGGUAACCUGCCCUUGAGACUGGGACAACCUGUCGAAAGACGGGCUAAUACCGGAUAAGACCACGAGAGCUGCGGCUCUUGGGGUAAAAGGUGGCCUCUGCUUGCAAGCUAUCACUUGAGGAUGGGCCUGCGCGCCGUUAG